UGGGGAAUCUUGGACAAUGGGGGCAACCCUGAUCCAGCAAUGCCGCGUGUGGGAUGAAGGCCUUCGGGUUGUAAACCACUUUUGGCGGGGGCGAAAUAUCGAUUGAUAAUACCAUUCGGUGAUGACGGUACCCGCAGAAUAAGCACCGGCUAACUACGUGCCAGCAGCCGCGGUAAUACGUAGGGUGCAAGCGUUAAUCGGAAGUACUGGGCGUAAAGCGUGCGCAGGCGGUUAAGUAAGACAGAUGUGAAAUUCCCGGGCUCAACCUGGGAACUGCAUUUGUGACUGCUUGACUAGAGUGCGGCAGAGGGGAGUGGAAUUCCGCGUGUAGCAGUGAAAUGCGUAGAUAUGCGGAGGAACACCGAUGGCGAAGGCAACUCCCUGGGCCUGCACUGACGCUCAUGCACGAAAGCGUGGGGAGCAAACA
rnacentral:rRNA from 1 species